CCGUAUCGAGGGUGAUGGCCUGUGACGGCGGGACCAGCUCUAACUUCUUGCCCCACCCCCACACUUGCCCGCCAGCCUGUACGUGACCUCAUUUACUGUCGCCAUCUGACCCACACGUGGCGGGAAACCUGAGCACUAGGAGGAACCCACCUGGUCCCAGGGAGAAUGUUCAAACUCCACACAGUCAGGACCUGAGGUGCUGUGAUACCUCAGUAGAGCCAGUGAAGGCAACUUUAUCGAUGUCUCUGUGGCAGGCUAUUGCCGCCCCAGCAGUGGGUCCGAAACCUGGAACGAUGUUCACCACACCGGGAGGGAACGGAACCUGAAAUGAAGAAAUGGAUUUGCAUGUUAAAGAUUGGAAUCUGCAACCACUUGCCCGCCUUCAGAGUAUCAGCAGAUUUUACACUGGCUAUGGGUAUUAAUGCAGGAUAUCAGAAAGCAGCUUUAUACUUCGAGCUGGAGACUGGAAGUCCUUGCAAUAAGUUACCAACGUACCGGGGUGAUCUGAC